rnacentral:misc_RNA from 1 species
GAUGAAGAACGCAGCGAAAUGCGAUAAGUAAUGCGAAUUGCAGAAUUUCCGUGAGUCAUCGAAUCUUUGAACGCACAUUGCGCCCACUGGUAUUCCGGUGGGCAUGCCUGUUCGAGCGUCAUUAUCCCCCCUCAAACCCCGUGUUUGGUGUUAGACCCAAGUUGUGUGAACAACUGGUCUCAAAGACAAUGACGGCGUCCGUGGGACCCUCGGUGCAACGAGCUUUUAGGAGCACGCGCCGAGUUGCAAGGACCUUCCGGGCCGGUCUCCUUUUACUAUUUUACAAGGUUGACCUCGGAUCAGGUAGGAAUACCCGCUGAACUUAAGCAUAUCAAUAAGCGGAGGA